GUCUGUUAUAGCCCAUACCCCAGUGAAUUUCCACACGACGAUUGCCGAGGAGAACGGGUGAGCACGUACCGGGUGCAUUCGCGCGAACACGCACGAGCCCCGGUUUUCUCGUGAAAAGAGCCGCAGAGCCAUACACCGAGUUAUAAUGCAAACGGGGACGGGGUAUAGAAGCCACCGGGUUGAGGGAGUGAGUGAGCGAGUGAAUGAGCGAGUGAGUGAGCGAACGUACGUACGAACGAACGCCUGAACGAGUGAGGGAGUAAGAGUGAGAUGGCAUUUGCUGUGUUGCCGGAUGCGUAGGUGGGUCUGGAGGAUUUUAAACAUGACAACACUGCACUUGUACUGAUUAUGGGGACUUUGUAAGAGGGAGUUUAGAAAAUUGAGGCUAUUGAAGAUGGGGUCAGAUUUAUUCAGCAGUUGUGACAAUUGUCCAGCGAAAAUUUCCGUUUUGAGACUGACAAUCGAAGGAAAAACAUAAUAUCUAUGAUUUUGGAAGAUGAAAAAAAUAUUAUUUCGCCUUCAAGAAGUUCCAAAAUAUUUGAAAUAUCAUAAUAUCAAAGAAUUCUGCAAUGAAUGACGUCCAAAAAAUUCCGAAAUCAACGAAAUUCUGAUUUUACUCAAUGGAAAAAUUCAUUCACAGUUCUAAAAUAGAAAAGCUGUCAUUUCACUGAAAUAAAAUAAAAAUAAAAUUCAAAGU